rnacentral:rRNA from 1 species
AGGGUUUGAUUCUGGCUCAGGACGAACGCUGGCGGCGUGCUUCAUACAUGCAAGUCGAACGAGAAGUUACCUUCGGGUAAUGGACAGUGGCGGACGGGUGAGUAAUGUGUAGAGAAUCUGCCCUUGAGCGGGGGACAACAGCUGGAAACGGUUGCUAAUACCCCAUAUGAUGCCGGUUGUGAUACCGGUAUUGAAAACUCCGGUGCUCAAGGAUGAGUCUGCAUCUGAUUAGCUAGUUGGGGGUGUAAUGGACCACCAAGGCGACGAUCAGUAGCUGGUUUGAGAGGAUGAUCAGCCACAAUGGGACUGAGACACGGCCCAU